GCCGACGGCCAUAGGAUCGGGGGAAACACCCGGACUCAUUCCGAACCCGGAAGUUAAGCCCCGUUCCGUUCCGUGUUGUACUGUGUUCCGAGAGGGCACGGGAAGCACGGAAGCUGUCGGCA
rnacentral:rRNA from 1 species